CAUCAUGUGAACAAGUUGCUUCAAGCAUUAUUAAAAACAAGAUGAAGCGAGAAGGCAUAGAGAGAGGCCAAUCCUUUAAAAUAUCUACAGGUGGGAAUCCAUUAACUUUAACCGUUGGAACUAAA